rnacentral:rRNA from 1 species
UAGGUAACCUGCCCUGGAGCGGGGGAUAACAUUUGGAAACAGAUGCUAAUACCGCAUAACAACAAAAGCCACAUGGCUUUUGUUUGAAAGAUGGCUUUGGCUAUCACUCUGGGAUGGACCUGCGGUGCAUUAGCUAGUUGGUAAGGUAACGGCUUACCAAGGCGAUGAUGCAUAGCCGAGUUGAGAGACUGAUCGGCCACAAUGGAACUGAGACACGGUCCAUACUCCUACGGGAGGCAGCAG